UACGUAGGGCGCAAGCGUUGUCCGGAAUUAUUGGGCGUAAAGAGCUCGUAGGCGGCUUGUCACGUCGGGUGUGAAAGCCCGGGGCUUAACCCCGGGUCUGCAUUCGAUACGGGCUGCUAGAGUGUGGUAGGGGAGAUCGGAAUUCCUGGUGUAGCGGUGGAAUGCGCAGAUAUCAGGAGGAACACCGGUGGCGAAGGCGGCAUCCUGGACCAACACUGACGCUGAGGAGCGAAAGCCAGGGGAGCAAACGGG
rnacentral:rRNA from 1 species